UACGUAGGGAGCAAGCGUUGUCCGGAAUCAUUGGGCGUAAAGCGCGCGUAGGUGGCUUCGUAAGUCCGUUGUGAAAGUCAAAGGCUCAACCUUUGAAAGCCGAUGGAUACUGUGAAGCUAGAGUACGGAAGAGGCGAGUGGAAUUCCUGGUGGUAGCGGUGGAAUGCGCAGAUAUCAGGAGGAACACCAAUAGCGAAGGCAGCUCGCUGGGACGUUACUGACACUGAGGCGCGAAAGCGUGGGGAGCGAACAG
rnacentral:rRNA from 1 species